ensembl:lincRNA
CCUACUGGUCCCGGGUGCCGCGCGUGCGCACUUUGGGUGUGCGGGCCAGUGCCUGAUGGGAGUUGAUACCGCUGUACCAGAGCGUACCUGGCCCGAGCCACCCUGAUAUGAUAAAUAGCCAAAGACGUCAGUGACACGAACACAGUAAGCAUAGUAGGAGCUGAAAAACUAGAAGCAAUGAAAAUGUCAACUAUUUUGAUCAAAAAGUAGCAGUGUCUUCAGAAUUUGAUCAUAAAACCAGGAAUUAAAGGAUGAGAAAACCAUUUUUCUGAAGCUUAUACUUUCACAUUUCCUAGAGAACAUAUUUGUAUGGAUGGGGCAAGUCACAUUGCGGAGGAGGAUGAGGAAUGUGAAAAAGAGUUCAACCCUACCUGCCACCUGGAUCCUAGAAACCAGAACAUAGAGUCCAGUCUUCCCUGGCCAACUGACGUCCACUUAUGGAUUCAUGAACAUGAGGAUAAAUAAAAAUUGUAUUAAGCUACUGAAAUUGGGGGUGAUUUAUUACACAGUAUAUUGUGCCCAUAUCUGAUUAAUACAAUGGCAAAUUUAUUAAGGAUGUUUUAUCUAGGGCAUAGAUGCUUUGGUGAGGAAGGAGACUUCACAGUAUCUGUUAGAAACACAGAAACAACUCUGUGAUCUUUCUAUUGUCUUAUCCUGCUUCCAAGAACGUAUGCUCCUUCAUUCAGAUAACAGAAGGACCAGCUAGAAAAGCCUUAACCCAGACAUCAAACUGUAAUAAACUGCUUAUUAAUAAUUUAUUAUUACAAUACAGCACAUUGUAACAACACGGAACAUGAAUGUAAUGUGUUUCUGAAUAGGUAGAUGCUCUUGUUGGCUUCCUUAACAGCAAUCACCCUAUGUGCUUAGAUACACCAGCCUUCCCAGGAGAAGAUGGACUGUGAUGAGUCUUGGUCAAUAUUGGUACAUCAACUACCCCUGACAAAGGCUUACUUAAGAGAUGGACACAUGGCUGAAUUCUUGCCCAUGAUAUAAUAAAGAUCAUUUGUUGAGCCCUUACCAUUGCCAGGCAUUUGAUGGAUUAACCCAGUCUUCAAAUCAGUUCUUUGAGAUUGGUUCUAAUUUUAUCCCAUUGCCCUAGGAUAUGCAGCUGAAAUAGCAGGAAUAAAAUACAAACUCAGGCUACUUUUAGGGUCUUCCCUAGUAACUAUGACUCCUUUUGGCCAUAUUCAUUUAUACAUUUACCCAACCAACAGAUUGACAUUUAUCAAGAUUCUGCCUGCCUAAUUAUUUGUAGUGAAACUACAGGAGACAAUAAAAACACAAGACUUCCAUCUUCUUCAAGUGUACAUUUUGACUGGGGAGAAAAAGAUGUUACAAAUAAGCUGUGUGUUUUUGUGGUUGUGUAUUAUAAAAAUGGAUGAGAGAGAAAGAGCCUGAAGUGGUGGGAUUUAGGGCUUGUUUUAGAGUUUUCAGGGAAAUGGCUCUGAGUAGAUACUAUCUAAGCAAAGGCUACAUUAGAGUAAGGGAGUAAGAUUGUCAAGAUCAUAAGAGAAUUGUUGAGAUACUCUGGGUUGUACUGAGUGCUUCCUGGCAGUGAAUAUCAUUAUAUAAUUGUGGAGAUUUUUUGAACUUUCAUUGCCUAAACUACCAUCAUAUAUUCUAAUUAUCCACCAUUUUUAUGCAGCUGGCUGUAGCACACAGCUCUCCUUAGGUGCACUGCCAGUGCAUGGGGUUCUACGACUUGGCACGAAAAGUCUGAGGUGCUUGGAGCACUCUCCACACCAUUUGAUUCAAAAUCUGAAACUAAUGCUGAGGGAGAAAAAAGCACAUUCACACAAAUUUUAAUUAAUGUUCCAGGUCCCCUGCUAAACAAUUUUUUAAACAUAAUGUAUCAUUUAUUCCUCACAAUUAACCUAUGAAGCAGUUGCUACAAAGACCUUUGAGCUGUGGCUAUUUCUGCUCAUUCUGAGCCAGGGUUCUGAUUGUACGGCAGUCGUUUAAAAAGGGGCACCUUUCAAAGGACGUUUCUCUUUCACUGCUCAUGUCUACUCUCCAUGGGUCUUAGCAAAGGCUGGUAUAUUUGUGACAUGACUAUAGUGUAGAAUGUGAAACUAAAAUGAGACUUGCUUGAGAGAUAUUUUGGUUCUGAAGGGAGAACAAUAUUUCAUUACUUAUUUCCAUCACUCUUAGAGUAGAUGAACAGAAAAUGUCUGCCCCCA